AGCCUUGGCCUGAUCCAGGGUGCUCUAGAACAAAUUCCUCCCACUGAACUGUCCUGCUGUGGGGCAAGCAGGUCUAUAAGCCAUCUGGAAUUCAUUGUUGGUUUAUGGUGUGAGGGUCCUGCCAGGUUUUGGAAUCAAGGUUAUGCCAGCCUCAUUGAACUAGUUGACAAGUGUUCUUAUUUUUUCUGUUCUCUGGAAGAGUUCAUGUAAGAUUCGUAUUAUUUCUUCCUUAAAUAUUUGAAAGAAUUCACCAGUGAAGACACCUGGGCCUGGAGUUUUCUGGUUUUGGUGUGUUUGUUUGAUUUGGUGGUAAGUAGAAGGUGUGUUUUGAAAUCCUGUCUGUCCCAGAGGCCUUGACACUUGCUGACCCCGCAUAGCUCCACAUGGCUGCUCCUUUGGGAAUCCAGGUCUCUGCUCAGAUGCCAUCUCCUCAGAGAGGUCUUCCAUUACUUCCCCAGCUGAAGCAGCACUCACUCCCCUCAGCUGCACUUUCUAUUUUUUUUUUUUCUUCUUGAGACAAGGUCUCACUCUGUC
rnacentral:lncRNA from 1 species